AAUGGGCGUCGAGUUGAAUCUGGAGAAGUGUUNUCGUGUCGGACCGGGAUACAAGUCUCCUGGAAUGGAGCGUCAUAGAGGGUGAGAAUCCCGUCUUUGACACGGACUACCAGNGCUUCGUGAUGCGCUCUCAACGAGUCGAGUUGUUUGGGAAUGCAGCUCAAAAUGGGUGGUGAAUUCCAUCUAAAGCUAAAUACAGGCGAGAGACCGAUAGCGAACAAGUACCGUGAGGGAAAGAUGAAAAGAACUUUGGAAAGAGAGUUAAACAGUACGUGAAAUUGCUGAAAGGGAAACGCUGGAAGUCAGUCGCGUUGGCUAGGAAAUCAACCCUUGCUUUUUGUGGGGGGCACUUUCUUAGUUGACGUUUCCAACAUCGAUUUUGACCGCUGGAUAAAAGACUUAAGGAAUGUGGCACCUUCGGGUGUGUUAUAGACCCUAGGUUGUAUACAGUGAUUGGGAUCGAGGAACCGCAGCAUGCCGAAAGGUUGGGUUUCCCCCACUUCUCACGCUUUCGGAUGCUGGCAUAAUGGGCUUUACAUCGACCCCGUCUUUGAAACCACNGGACCCAAGGAGUCCUAAACAUAGCCCUGCGAGGUGUUUGGAGUGGAAAACCUCGAANCGCCAUAAUGAAAAGUUAAUAGUUUGACAAUCUUCUGUCAUGGAGAGCAUCGACGCCCGGACCUGAUGUUCUCUGACGGUUCUCCCGGUAGAGCAUUGUAAGUUGGGCCCGUAAAGAUGAUGAACUUAUACAUGAAUAGGGGUGAAGCCAGAGGAACUUUNGGGGGAGGCUUCGUAGCGAAUUCGAGGUGCAAAUCGAUUGUCAAAAUUGGGUAUAGGGGCGAAAAGCUUAUCGGACCCUUUAGUAGCUGGUUCCCACCCGAAGUUUCCCUCCGGAUAGCAGAAAAUUCAUGAUCAGAUUUAUGUGGUAAAGCGAAUGAUUAGAGGCCUUGGGGUUGAAAACAACCUUAACCUAUUCUCAAACUUUAAAUAUGUAAGAACAAUCCGUCUCUUGAUUGGACCGAUUGGCGAUUGAGAGUUUCUAGUGGGCCAUUUUUGGUAAGCAGAACUGGCGAUGCGGGAUGAACCGAACGUGAGGUUAAGGUGCCGGAAUACACACUCAUCAGACACCACAAAAGGUGUUAGUUCAUCUAGACAGCAGGACGGUGGCCAGGAAUCGGAAUCCGUAAGGAGUGUGUAACAACUCACCUACGUAAUGGUUAAAUAAAGUAUUGGAGGUAGCCGAUCUUGUUGGUCUAAGUUUUUAUAAUAGUAAGAUCAGCGGUAGUAAGAUCUGGUGUAGAAGAUGUGGGUAGUAGCUCUUGUGGAGGGGAUACAAAAC
rnacentral:rRNA from 1 species